UUGAUACUUCUUAAACAUGCAAAACCCGCUUGAAACCAGUUUUGUGAUUUGAAGCUUAAAGACUAAAUCUGUGACUCGGUCUAAUUUACUAAAUAACCAAAAAAUUGCCUUUGUUUAAAGUGAAAACUUUUUUUUAGUACUCAGAUUUGCAACAUAGUCGUGAAAACUUCAACGGCGAAGAAAGUCCACGCUUAACUGCAAGUUAACUCUGUGUACCUGUCUUAUCCUCGACGGGAUGGGAGCCUACCUUUCUUUGUUACCCCGUGCCUGGCACCUUAACUUUCACUUUGGGAAAGCUGACCGAACAAGAAGUAAAUGGCAUGCUCAGAUAUACAGGGGGGCUUGAAAAGAGGAAGUGUCCAGCCCUCUUCCGCUCAGCCUCCAGAAAGCCUGCUGACACUCUGGUUCCUGGGAACAGCUGGAGAAAAUCACAUCACCUCCAGCUGCUCAGGGAAUGGAGGCCACCAUGCACAAAAGACCUAGAAGUCUUCCCCUGAACCUCAGAUAUGCAGGUAACACCACCAUUAUGGCAGAAAGCAAAGAGGAACUGAAGAGCCUCAUGAUGAAAG